rnacentral:lncRNA from 1 species
CAAAUUUGGGCUGUUUAUUACGAUUAAUCUCAACCGUUCGAUCACACCUAAGGGGGAAACAGAUCCGGAUCCUCCACGUGUGUGGGAUCGGUCAUGGGUCGUUCGAUCAUGGGGCAUGCGGAUCGUCAACAUGGCCUCCCGACGUCAGCCUACCUUGCCAUACAGCGCGCUCCAGUUCUUCGAGACAGUUGAUUGGGCAGUUUUACGUGGCCGAAUUUUCUUUAUUUGCACUUUGACUUUCUAUUUCCAAUUUUUUGUUGAAAAACACUCACAUAACCUAAAUUUUCACCCAUUUUUUAUAAAAUUAUUUU